rnacentral:sRNA from 1 species
AAAAAAAAAAAGCUCUUGAACACAUCUCCAGAAUUUACAAAUAAAAUACAAAACUCAUUGGUUUUUGGAGGUUGGGGUGUCUGGUAGGUAGCCAAGCUUAGCCAUCGUUCUGAUUACGUAUCUAGGGGUAGUGAGAUGUCCAGGAGCCAGUCCAAUGUAGAGCCCAGGACUCUUAGUAUAUUAAGUAGCUUUUAGUCUAUCAAAAUUUAGUUUACAGACACUUCCCAAUAAGUAAAAUACCAGGUUGCUAACAUCAAAGAUAACUUCUUAGGUCUUCAGAUUUUCAAUUAAAUGACUUUCCUUUUCCUGGAGUAUGUGUGGAGCAGAUGCUGUCAGUUUUCCAACUAAAUGUGAGAGAAGGUGGUCCAAGUAAGACGUCAUAUGUACUCUAGGUUGGAGAGCUGAGUGGGCAGGGGUACCCACCACCCUAGACAAGGUCCAGACAAUUCUAGGAUGACGCCAGAUCCGGGGCUGCAGAAUUUGGAGUUCGCCUCCUGGGUUUAGGGCCUCAUCAUAAGAGAUCGAUUGAGCCUGGACAAGCUUUAUGCUUAUACUCUUGAAUACUCCUGGAACUUUAAUAUGUUGGGUACUUCAUGAAAUGUAAUAAAUACAUUUCGUGUCAUAAAAUUAACAUGGGAUUAUUUUUCCGGGGUAGAGGUGGACUAUCAUGAUCUCAAAGUGACGUUUGGACGGUGUGUAGGCGGAACAGACUCUUGAGAAUUGACCUGUCAACUAGGUUUUAGAACACCAAAGAGACACACAUCUAAUUAUCACUAUGAUAUUAUUUCCAGAGAUGCUCAACUAGAGGAGGGGGAGGGGAGAGGGAGGAGUGGGAGUAGGGAGAGGAGGAGAACGAGAAGAACCUGACCUGAAUGUGAAUGGCACUAUCCCACGGACUAGGGUCUUGGGACAAAGAAGGUGAGCUGACCGUCAGCGUUCAUCUCUGCUUGCUGCCAUGACAGCAAGCAUGACUCUGUGACUAGAUGCCUGCAAGCCCUCCCCACCGUGAUAGACUGUACCCACAUCUCUAAGCCGAAACACCACUGUCCUCCUUAAGUGGCUUUUCUCAGUUUCACAGCACGGAUAAACGUGUCUAAUAUACUACCGAAUUGUCUGUGCGUUCCGCUCAGGUUUUCUGUGAACAGAAAACUGCUCCCCUUUUUUAGAGGCCCGUUUUCUAAAAAAAAAAAAAA